AACCGCCGGGUGCGGACCCGCAUGCCCGGUGGUGUGGGGGCCGGGGGAGAAAAUCCCCCGGCUACCCGAU
rnacentral:ncRNA from 1 species